rnacentral:lncRNA from 1 species
UAGUGAAUUAGAAAAUCAGUUAGGAGCCUUUGGUUCUAACUAAUUUUCUGGUAGUUGUUGUAGCUGAAUAUUAGAUGUAUUUUCUUUUAAAUCUCUACAUUCCUUUGUCUGUAAAUAGGAUAGAGGGUUGUAUACGUGAAGUGUGAGCAAGAGGGGGAUAUCUGCAGAUAGAGAAAGUAAGGUAGUGUGAGAUAGAAUUCUCUGUAACACAAGUCCUUGUAAACUUUUUGGGAGCUUUCUGGUUAUUCCAUGUUGGGUGGUGAGUGGUGGUGUUUUGGGUAAGAUAAACACUAUGUAAUAUUCCUCUUGAAUGGAAGAUUGAUUGGGGGUAAAUUCCCUGCAAUGGUUGAUGAAAAUUGUUCCAGAAAACAAGCAAUUCUUGAGUCCAAAAUCUGAUUCUUUGCUGGUUUUAUAUUCUGCCAUUGCUGAGUUUCUUUUCCUGUCAUUGGAAAUAUGAUAUGAUCAUUGUUUCUUGGGACAUGGGAGAUUGGUAAAAAUCCUAACAGUGGUAUCAGAGCGUGGGGUAUGAUCUAGGUGAAAGAUUUGCAAAAGUUUGAAGGUUCUUUUUCAAAUUUCUGAUAAUUGUUCGUCACCGAUCGUGGAAGAAUUUUCCUGGCCAGAAUAUUGCUUUCAUGAUGUCUACGUUCAAGUUCGAAGUUGAAAAGUUUGAUGGGAAGAAUGACUUCAACCUGUGGAGAGAAAAGAUGAUGGCAUAUCUUGGUAAUCUUGGAGUGGAUGAAGCCUUGAAGGAUGAAUCAAAGAUGUCAGGUUCCAUACACAACAAAAGUCAGAAACAAGAUCAUCAGAGUAGUAAUGGAGACUCAGUAAACGUCUCAGAUGGCUAUGAGGGUGCUGAUGUACUUUCGCUGGCUGGUAAGGAUCCUAAAGAUGAGUGGAUCAUGGAUUCUUGGUGUGCCUUCUACAAGACAUCCAAUAGAGAUCUUUUCUUGGAGUAUAAACCAGAUCAUGGGAGCAAAGUUUUGCUAGGAAAUAACACCACUUGUGAUGUAGUGGAUGUUGGAGUUAUUAAGCUGAAAAUGUGGGAUGAUCUUGAGAGGAAUUUGAUCUCACUUGGAGCUAUGGAUGAAUCUGGUUGUAUCUACAAGGCUCAAGGUGGAGUACUAGAUGUUAUGAAAGGAUUCUUGGUUGUGGUGAAGGGACUGUACUACGUUUUGCAGGAGAAUAUAGUCAAUAGUGAAGCUGCCAUGUUUGAAAACAAAGAGGAGCAGGUUGUGUUGAACUCAUUACAAGAAAAUAGCCAAAAAAAUGACCAAAAGAGUGGAGUUGGUAAUCUGCAAGAGGAGGAUGCAGAUGAUGAAGCUGAAGUUAGAGGAAGUCUUGACUGUCCAAAGUGCCAUAAGCAGGAGAAAUCUGAAGUCUUUUGUGUGCAAGAAGUAAUUUCCAAGAGGAAAGUUGAAGUUGUCAAGAUUGUCACUGAAGUUGGUCAUGCUGAUUUGCUUAUUUGCUCGCCAAAAAUAAUCCAGUUAGCAAGAUGCAUGGAGCAUUGGAUUGCUGAAGAUUAAGGCUGGAUGAUCAACCAUGCAGGGUGUUCUUGAAGUUUUUUAGUCAAUCUUGGUUUAACAACACUCAUCAAGACUCAAAGGUGGAGAUUGUAGAGAAAAUAUUGAUUCUUGAUUUGGUUAUUAAACUCAUUAGUUGGAUUAGCUAGUGAGUUAGAAAAUCAGUUAUGAGCCUUUGGUUCUAACUAAUUUUCUGGUAGUUGUUGUAGCUGAAUAUUAGAUGUAUUUUCUUGUAAAUCUCUACAUUCCUUUGUCUAUAAAUAGGAUAGAGGGUUGUAUACGUGAAGUGUGAGCAAGAGGGGGAUAUCUGCAGAUAGAGAAAGUAAGGUAGUGUGAGAUAGAAUUCUCUGUAACAUAAGUCCUUGUAAACUUUCUGGGAGCUUUCUGGUUGUUCCCGGUUGGGUGGUGAGUGGUGGUGUUUUGGGUAAGAUAAACACUAUGUAAUAUUCCUCUUGAAUGGAAGAUUGAUUGGGGGUAAAUUCCCUGCAAUGGUUGAUGAAAAUUGUUCCAAAAAACAAGCAAUUCUUGAGUCCAAAAUCUGAUUCUUUGCUGGUUUUAUAUUCUGCCAUUGCUGAGUUUCUUUUCCUGUCAUUGCAAAUAUGAUAUGUCAUUGUUUCCUGGGA